AUUGCCCUAGUAACGGCGAGUGAAGCGGCAACAGCUCAAAUUUGAAAUCUGGCUUCGGCCCGAGUUGUAAUUUGUAGAGGAAGCUUUUGGUGAGGCACCUUCUGAGUCCCCUGGAACGGGGCGCCAUAGAGGGUGAGAGCCCCGUAUAGUCGGAUGCCGAUCCAAUGUAAAGCUCCUUCGACGAGUCGAGUAGUUUGGGAAUGCUGCUCAAAAUGGGAGGUAAAUGUCUUCUAAAGCUAAAUACCGGCCAGAGACCGAUAGCGCACAAGUAGAGUGAUCGAAAGAUGAAAAGCACCUUGAAAAGGGGGUUAAAUAGCACGUGAAAUUGUUGAAAGGGAAGCGUUUGUGACCAGACUUGCGCCGCCCCGAUCAUCCGGUGUUCUCACCGGUGCACUCGGGGCGGCGCAGGCCAGCAUCGGUUUCGGCGGGGGGAUAAAGGCCCGGGGAACGUAGCUCCUCCGGGAGUGUUAUAGCCCCGGGCGUAAUGCCCUCGCCGGGACCGAGGUUCGCGCAUCUGCAAGGAUGCUGGCGUAAUGGUCACCAACGACCCGUCUUGAAACACGGACCAAGGAGUCAAGGUUUUGCGCGAGUGUUUGGGUGUAAAACCCGCACGCGUAAUGAAAGUGAACGUAGGUGAGAGCUUCGGCGCAUCAUCGACCGAUCCUGAUGUAUUCGGAUGGAUUUGAGUAAGAGCGUUAAGCCUUGGACCCGAAAGAUGGUGAACUAUGCUUGGAUAGGGUGAAGCCAGAGGAAACUCUGGUGGAGGCUCGCAGCGGUUCUGACGUGCAAAUCGAUCGUCAAAUCUGAGCAUGGGGGCGAAAGACUA
rnacentral:rRNA from 1 species